rnacentral:lncRNA from 1 species
UUCUGAGCAAGGGAACAUGUUAGGCUCUGGAGCACGCUGCUGCUGCCGCGGCUCUGCGGCUCUGCAGGCCAUGCAGCAGCAGCACCAGAUGCAGCAUUCAGGUGCAGGGCGUUGUAAGGAGCGGGGACGCGACGCCAGAGAGAAAUAUGCGUACAAUGCGAGAAGCAGAGCGCCGAGAACAAGAGAGAAGAGGGUAGGAGGGAGAGAUAGCGGGGAGUGUUGACUAUCGUAGGGGAGGGAAAAGAGAUCUUCUUUGGCUUGAUUACUUGAUGGGAUGCUAUGCCUACGCCAUAGCCGCUUCACGAAACCAGGACCGGGUCAGAAGGAAGACGAGGCCGUGGCACAGAGCAGAGCAGAGUAGAACAGAGGUGGUGAGAAGUAAGUGAGAAAGAAAAGCAAGCGUGUGAGACAAAUUAGCAAUCGAGAGAGAGAGCGAGAGAAGAGAGAGGGGCGGGGGUGGGGUGGGGUGUGGGGGACCCCCUUGGGAGUAGCAGCAGCACAGUGGGGCCCUGUUGUCGGACUGGGCCAGCUAUGGAGUUUGUUGCCAUCCCAGCAGUCAAGAAGGCUUUCGUUCACAACGCCACGACGAGUAUGAUAACAUAGUGCGGCAGAGUCGAUCGCAGCCAGCCAGCCAGCUAGCCCCCUUCUUCGCUUUCACGCUCCAACACCUCUUGUGGGCAUCCGUCGAUCGUCAGCUUCACAUUUUGUUUGGAUUUUCUCAUCUUUGGACG